UCCUGUAGAACAUGUUCAUGUGCUUGAUUUCGACUCAAGAAAAGGGAUUUCCCUGCAGGGA
rnacentral:tRNA from 1 species